GUCCCAAGCUUCAGGUAUUUCUUUAUGCUCUUUUUUAGAACUACCUCCAAAGAUCUGUAAGUUUUUGGUCCUUCCAAAGUGGUAUGAUCAAAGUAGAAGAAUAGUCACUGUUCUCCUGGUCUGUGAUCUGGUGAACUCAGCUCUUGAAACCCCCAAAGAGAUGAUGGGAACAAAGCACUUUCUAAAUAUCAUCAUUCUGGCUAGACCAGACACUAGGAAAAUACUUGGAAUAGAAGUUGAGAGGCUCGGUGGUGGUGAUAGGAAGUUUGGCUUAUUCCUCCAUGGACAAGAACAAGUGGAUGGUAACAAAUGCUGAUGGUAUCACAAUUUUCAGAGAACUGUAGGAUAAAUUCCCAAGUUGCCUGAAGGGCUGAAUGACACCAAAUGAGUG
rnacentral:lncRNA from 1 species